rnacentral:rRNA from 1 species
CUAACACAUGCAAGUCGAACGAGAAAGUGGAGCAAUCCAUGAGUACAGUGGCGUACGGGUGAGUAACACGUGACUAACCUACCCUCGAGUGGGGAAUAACUUCGGGAAACCGAGGCUAACACCGCAUAAUGUCUACGGACCAAAUGCGUAAGCAGCUUGAGGAGGGGGUCGCGGCUGAUUAGCUUGUUGGCGGGGUAACGGCCCACCAAGGCAAUGAUCAGUAGCCGGCCUGAGAGGGCGCACGGCCACACUGGAACUGAAACACGGUCCAGACUCCUACGGGAGGCAGCAGUGGGGAAUUUUGCGCAAUGGGGGAAACCCUGACGCAGCAACGCCGCGUGGAGGAUGAAGCCCCUUGGGGUGUAAACUCCUUUCGAUCGGGACGAUUAUGACGGUACCGGAUGAAGAAGCACCGGCUAACUCUGUGCCAGCAGCCGCGGUAAUACAGAGGGUGCAAGCGUUGUUCGGAAUUAUUGGGCGUAAAGGGUGCGUAUGCGGUGCGGUAAGUCUUCUGUGAAACCUCCGGGCUUA